ensembl:lncRNA FAM181A-AS1 FAM181A antisense RNA 1
GACUCCAGGCCUACAGCUGCCAUGCUCCAGUGCGGACAGACAAUCGGACGGGGGCAUCAAGACAUUUUAGAGCCACUCAGCUCAGCUCCCAGCUUCCUUGAGAUCCCACGGCACCUGCAGCCCUGCUGGCCCAUUCUGCACUGCCCGCUCAUGAAGCUGUCUCUCCUUUCUUAGCCAGUAGUAAGCCUCCCCACCAGGCCCGUGGACUCCGUGGGAGGUGAGCUCCAGAAGGGAAGGGAGUUCUUUCACAGCUUUCUGUCUCUGUAUCUCCUGUGACUUGAAUGGACUCAGCACACAGCAGGCCUGAGUGAAGGAUGCUUGUGGUUGCUAUGGCUUACAUGACAACGAAUUGUCUGUAAUCCUACAGGACUAUGGCACAUGAAAGCUGGAAGCGCUUCUUUCCGACUGCAUCGCCCAGCACCAGAGCCCGAGUUCUGUAAAGCUCUGUUAAAGGCACAUGAGCUGUGCUGGCUUCAACUGCCCUGAACUUGGAUAAGCUGGGCCGCUGAUGGACCCUUCCCAACCGGUUGUUGCUGCCUUGGUUU